rnacentral:rRNA from 1 species
UACGAAGGGGACUAGCGUUGUUCGGAAUUACUGGGCGUAAAGCGCACGUAGGCGGAUUUGUAAGUCAGGGGUGAAAUCCCGGGGCUCAACCUCGGAACUGCCUUUGAUACUGCAAGUCUCGAGUCCGAUAGAGGUGGGUGGAAUUCCUAGUGUAGAGGUGAAAAUUCGUAGAUAUUAGGAAGAACACCAGUGGCGAAGGCGGCUAUCUGGACGGUUUCUGACGCUAAGACGCGAAAGCGUGGGGGAGCAAACAGG